rnacentral:rRNA from 1 species
GCAACCCUGAUCCAGCAAUGCCGCGUGUGUGAAGAAGGCCUUCGGGUUGUAAAGCACUUUUGUCCGGAAAGAAAACGCCGUGGUUAAUACCCGUGGCGGAUGACGGUACCGGAAGAAUAAGCACCGGCUAACUACGUGCCAGCAGCCGCGGUAAUACGUAGGGUGCAAGCGUUAAUCGGAAUUACUGGGCGUAAAGCGUGCGCAGGCGGUCCGCUAAGACAGAUGUGAAAUCCCCGGGCUUAACCUGGGAACUGCAUUUGUGACUGGCGGGCUAGAGUAUGGCAGAGGGGGGUAGAAUUCCACGUGUAGCAGUGAAAUGCGUAGAGAUGUGGAGGAAUACCGAUGGCGAAGGCAGCCCCCUGGGCCAAUACUGACGCUCAUGCACGAAAGCGUGGGGAGCAAACAGGAUUAGAUACCCUGGUAGUCCACGCCCUAAACGAUGUCAACCAGUUGUCGGGUCUUCAUUGACUUGGUAACGUAGCUAACGCGUGAAGUUGACCGCCUGGGGAGUACGGUCGCAAGAUUAAAACUCAGA